rnacentral:rRNA from 1 species
UACGUAGGGUGCAGGCGUUAAUCGGAAUUACUGGGCGUAAAGCGUGCGCAGGCGGUCUUUUAAGUCAGAUGUGAAAUCCCCCGGGCUUAACCUGGGAACUGCGUUUGAAACUGGAAGGCUAGAGUGUGGCAGAGGGGGGUGGAAUUCCGCGUGUAGCAGUGAAAUGCGUAGAGAUGCGGAGGAACACCGAUGGCGAAGGCAGCCCCCUGGGCUAGCACUGACGCUCAGCACGAAAGCGUGGGGAGCAAACAGG